UACGAAGGGGGCUAGCGUUGCUCGGAAUCACUGGGCGUAAAGCGCACGUAGGCGGCUUUCUAAGUCAGGGGUGAAAUCCUGGAGCUCAACUCCAGAACUGCCUUUGAUACUGGAGAGCUCGAGUCCGGAAGAGGUGAGUGGAACUCCGAGUGUAGAGGUGAAAUUCGUAGAUAUUCGGAAGAACACCAAUGGCGAAGGCGGCUCACUGGUCCGGUACUGACGCUGAGGUGCGAAAGCGUGGGGAGCAAACAGG
rnacentral:rRNA from 1 species